rnacentral:rRNA from 1 species
UGUAAUGUUGGGUAGUCCGCAACGAGCGCACCUUAUCCUUGUUUGCCAGCACUUCGGGUGGGAACUCCAGGAGACUGCCGGUGAUAAACCGGAGGAAGGUGGGGACGACGUCAAGUCAUCAUGGCCCUUACGAGUAGGGCUACACACGUGCUACAAUGGCAUAUACAGAGGGCUGCCAACUCGCGAGAGUGAGCGAAUCCCAUAAAGUAUGUCGUAGUCCGGGUUGGAGUCUGCAACUCGACUCCAUGAAGUCGGAAUCGCUAGUAAUCGUGGAUCAGAAUGCCACGGUGAAUACGUUCCCGGGCCUUGUACACACCGCCCGUCACACCAUGGGAGUGGGCUGCACCAGAAGUAGAUAGCUUAACCUUCGGGAGGGCGUUUACCACGGUGUGGUUCAUGACUGGGGUGAAGUCGUAACAAGGUAGCCCUAGGGGAACCUGGGGCUGGAUCACCUCCUU